GUUGCUACGCAAAGCGCCGGGGCCCCCUGCGGGAGGUAGGAGAGGCACAAUGGUGGGGCUGCCUGGUAUCCCCAGACUUCAAGGCAUAGCCCCGCGGACGCGCAGGCCCAGCUUUCGUGUGGUUUGUUUUUCUCGCUCCUUUAAUCGAGUCGAGAGGAAAACUCCUACAACAGGCCCAGCCUCGCGGUGUGGGCGGCGGCUGUCCCGCGUGAACGGCUCUCAUGCUGCCCGACCCACUUCUCUCCUUGUGGUCUCCAGGUGUCAUCGGACUGGUGGCCUUGUACCUGGUGUUCGGUUAUGGAGCCUCUCUCCUCUGCAACCUGAUAGGAUUUGGCUACCCAGCCUACAUCUCAAUUAAAGCUAUAGAGAGUCCCAACAAAGAAGAUGAUACCCAGUGGCUGACCUACUGGGUAGUGUAUGGUGUGUUCAGCAUUGCUGAAUUCUUCUCUGAUAUCUUCCUGUCAUGGUUCCCCUUCUACUACAUGCUGAAGGUGUGGUCUGGACUAGGGUUUCUCCUUCCCCGCUGCCUGCUGUAGUAGUGGUCGUGGUGGCCCAUCUUCUCCCUCCUCUCGGAGUUCUUGCCAAAGGAGGAGCCAGUCUGAUCUGGAGACAAGUAGAUGUCUCUAUUAGCUUCCCAGAAUUCAUUGUUGGGAUUUCUGAACACAUGAAGAAAGUUGCAGUGUUUUCCUCUUGGACAUUGUUGUAUUUCAAAUAAACCACAAAUCGCCAUUUUCCACCGCGUCACUGGGCAGAAUUCACAUUGCAGCUGUCGUCCUGCAUACCAUCGUCCGUUAAACAGAGAAAGGGCUGCUUGGCAUUCUUCUUCCGACUGGUACUGAACAUAUACAUUGCCCCUCAGUGUGGCUUCCUGUUGUGGUGCAUGGCCCCGAGCCCUUCUAAUGGGGCUGAACUGCUCUACAAGCGCAUCAUCCGUCCUUUCUUCCUGAAGCACGAGUCCCAGAUGGACAGUGUGGUCAAGGACCUUAAAGACAAGGCCAAAGAGACUGCAGAUGCCAUCACUAAAGAAGCCAAGAAAGCUACCGUGAAUUUACUGGGUGAAGAAAAGAAGAGCACCUAAACCAGACUGGAUGGAAACUUCCUGCCCUCUCUGUACCUUCCUACUAGAGCUUGAUGUUAUAUUAGGGACUGUGGUAUAAUUAUUUUAAUAAUGUUGCCUUGGAAACAUUUUUGAUAUAUUAAAGAUUGGAAUGUGUUGUAAGUUUCUUUGCUUACUUUUACUGUCUAUAUACGUAGGGAGCACUUUAAACUUAAUGCAGUGGGCAGUGUCCAAGUUUUUGGAAAAUGUAUUUUGCCUCUGGGUAGGAAAAGAUGUAUGUUACUAUCCUGCAGGAAAUAUAAACUUAAAAUAAAAUUAUAUACCCCACAGGCUGUGUACUUUACUGGACUCUCCCUGCAUGCAUUUUCUCUGUAGUUACAUUUAGGAUAAUCUUUAUGGUUCUACUUCCUGUAAUGUACAAUUUUAUAUAAUUCUGAAAUGUUUUUAAUGUAUUUGUGCACAUGUACAUAUGGAAAUGUUACUGUCUGACUACAACAUGCAUCAUGCUCAUGGGGAGGGAGCAGGGGAAGGUUGUAUGUGUCAUUUAUAACUUCUGUACAGUAAGACCACCUGCCAAAAGCUGGAGGAACCAUUGUGCUGGUGUGGUCUACUAAAUAAUACUUUAGGAAAUACGUGAUUAAUAUGCAAGUGAACAAAGUGAGAAAUAAUGAAAUCGAAUGGAGAUUGGCCUGGUUGUUUCCCUAGUAUAUGGCAUAUGAAUACCA
rnacentral:sRNA from 1 species